CCCCCCCCCCCCCCCCCACCCGAGAUGCAGAGCGACUCACAGCCCAGCCAGCAGGAGGCUGGCUGAAAGGAAGAACCUGCCUGACCAGGAGCCCGGCUUCUGGAUCCCUCUGGAACCCGCGCCCCAGCCGCACAUGCGGCCUCCAGGCUCCUUGGAGGGAGACAGGAGUACUCUUCAGUCCUAGUUGCUAUGAUGGCUAAUGAAGGAUUUACGGAGCACACUACAGAAGAGACCUCGCUGCCGCGCUCCAGAGGAGCUCUGGCCGCAGACCCCUGAUGGGCGUGCGCACCUGACCUCGCUCCCGUCCUUUCUGCGGGUGUCACUUCUCUGUGGACAGGCAGAACCAGACCAGCUCCUUGGUCCCGUUCCAACAAAACUUCUGAGUGCAAAUGGCAUUCUUAGAGUCUUCAGGCGAGGACGGGGCCUUUGGGGGACUUGUUAAGUCCACACCUCUAUAUUAAGGUGAGAUCACACCUAGACUAUCCUGGAAUUACAAAUUUAUUAGUUUAUAAAGACCCUGAGAGAAUAAAUUCUAAACCCUCACCUUCAAGAGCAUAUCUGCGGAUUUAACAGCCUCAGUAUAAGAAAAUUGCUCCUCAGAAUUAAAUUUAAAUUCCUUACCCCAAGUUAAAUCUCAGGCUGUCUUGUGCAUACUUUAAUAGUCACCAAAAAGCUAGUACAAUUUGUUCAACAUUCACCCUUUAUGGUUUGAAGACCGUUCCUGAAACAAUCUUCACAUGAAUAUUGAGUCUAAAACUCACACUUGCCAUGACAACUGUUGUUUCUGUAUUUUAAAAAAUCAUGCAAAUAUCCAGCUCACUGAUGAGGACUUUCAUAAGAACAUGAAGAAGUACUUUACUUCUAAAGUUAUAGAUAUUUAGAAUCCUGUUUAUAAAGAAAAGAGAUUGGGUAACAAAUUUGCAAAUCAGAACAUGCUUUAAAGCUAAAAUUAUCAUUUCUAAACUAAGUAGCUGAAAAAAUAAGACUGUUAGUUAAAAUAGGUGCAUACGUUAUUCAAAUGAUAUAGC
rnacentral:lncRNA from 1 species